ACGGGUGAGUAACGCGUGGGAAUCUACCUAGUUCUACGGAACAACAGUUGGAAACGACUGCUAAUACCGUAUACGCCCUAAGGGGGAAAGAUUUAUCGGAAUUAGAUGAGCCCGCGUAAGAUUAGCUAGUUGGUGGGGUAAUGGCCUACCAAGGCGACCAUCUUUAGCUGGUCUGAGAGGAUGAUCAGCCACACUGGGACUGAGACACGGCCCAGACUCCUACGGGAGGCAGCAGUGGGGAAUAUUGGACAAUGGGCGCAAGCCUGAUCCAGCCAUGCCGCGUGAGUGAUGAAGGCCUUAGGGUUGUAAAGCUCUUUCAUUGGGGAAGAUAAUGACGGUACCCACAGAAGAAGCCCCGGCUAACUUCGUGCCAGCAGCCGCGGUAAUACGAAGGGGGCUAGCGUUGUUCGGAUUUACUGGGCGUAAAGCGCACGUAGGCCGAUUGGUCAGUUAGGGGUGAAAUCCUGGAACUCAACUCCCGAACUGCCUUUAAUACUGCCGGUCUCGAGUCCGGAAGAGGUAAGUGGAACUCCUAGUGUAGAGGUGGAAUUCAUACA
rnacentral:rRNA from 1 species